CAUCUCUGCAAAGACCUCCACAUCAAAGUUCUCCUCAACACUCUGCUGGGAGCCAAGAUCCUCCAGGACUCCAGUGAUGUAAGACAGAAGAACAUCAUCCAGUGUGCUGCAAUGAACGGUAAAAAGAAGUUGACUCCAAAACUGACGUGACGUGACUUUUGAAAUUUUAUUUUGAAAGGAUGAAACAUCUGCUUACCUGAGAUCUGCGUCAGGGAUGUAAGUCUGAAUGAACUCAUGCAGCGCACUGUGGAUGAUUUUGUGGAGGUCCAUGGCUUUGUCCUGUUUUGCAGCAGAGGAAACACGCACAGAGCUGGAGUUCAGCAGAUAGAGACGGCAACCACAGUGAGCAGCAGCAGCAGCCUCGACCCUUAAAUAACCAAACCAAACCCAACAGUUGUCGCCCAUGCACCAAGUAUGGCACACUCUCAGCUCUGACUUAAAUGGCAACGUUACAAAACGAUGUGUUAUGAAAGCUUGGUUGUGAAAGCAGCAUCUUAGCAUUCUGGAUGGCCCAGGGUGCGGUGACGCCAUGGUUUUCCACUAGGAAGUGUUUUGAGAGCACCUGUCCAGUAGCGCCACAAGGCACAUCACCUCCCUGUACUCGGCAGACAAUCCCUGGUCCCUGAACACAUUGUCGUUUCCCCUCAGGCCCAUUAUCAGAUCCCCUCUGUAGGCUCCCAGCAGCUGCAGUUAUUGUGGAAGACUCUACUUUUAUAGCCUCAUGAUGUCUGAGACAACACUAGCUUUUAUGAGUGAGUACAUGUUGUCUUCUGGUUGUUGGGAUGCUAGUUUCCUUUUUGUUUUGUUGACUGAAAAGCUUCCUUCUGACUUUUCCCCAUCAAAUGAAAUCUAAAAUAAAAACUUAAUUAAUACUAAUUAACACAAAAACAUAUUAAAUGAAUAGUUUUUGUCAAACAACUAGAGAAAUAUAGUAAUUCUUGCAGUUUUUUGAGUUCAGACAACAUCUGAAAAUGCAAAUAAUGAAUUAAACAUAGCAUCAUAAAAAAGAAAAAAGAACAAGGUGAUUGUAUUUAAUUCUGAAUUGAAUUUUCUUGUUAUUGUGCUAUUUUCACAUACUAUAUCAUUAAUCAUCUUUUUCCAAUCAUGUUUCUGUACCGAUCGGUCCCCUACUAUCUGUGGGAAAUGUGUUAUCUCUCUCUGCCAUUCAUGUACACAUUUAUUGGUUUCCAAGUCGCCGGGAUCAAUCUUUUGGCCACCAGAGGAGCAUAACUAAUGGCAACAUUAGAAUGGCUUUGUGAGAGGGACUGGCCGGAUGCGGGUUAACCAAGCAGGAAAUAAUCUAGGAUUUUAUAUCCUGCAUGAAUGGCCAUAGGAUAUGCUGAGAAUAAAUUAAUCCCCCCCAAAAUUUUAGCAGUGAGGUUAUCUUUUGAGUGAAACAGUUUCAGAGGUGCAGGCGGGUUUGUUUGUCUGAUAUUU